UGUGUUUGAGUUUGUAACUUUCGGUCCCAAAUAUUGGUUAUCGCUUUUAUUUACUACUAAUAAUCGGUAUCGGCCUUGAAAAAACAGUAUCGGUCGAUCUCUAAUACCA